AUUGAACGCUGGCGGCAGGCCUAACACAUGCAAGUCGAGCGGUAGAGAGGUGCUUGCAUCUCUUGAGAGCGGCGGACGGGUGAGUAAUGCCUAGGAAUCUGCCUAGUGGUGGGGGAUAACGUUCGGAAACGGACGCUAAUACCGCAUACGUCCUACGGGAGAAAGCGGGGGGAUCUUCGGACCUCGCGCCAUUAGAUGAGCCUAGGUCGGAUUAGCUAGUUGGUGAGGUAAUGGCUCACCAAGGCGACGAUCCUUAGCUGGUCUGAGAGGAUGAUCAGCCACACUGGGACUGAGACACGGCCCAGACUCCUACGGGAGGCAGCAGUGGGGAAUAUUGGACAAUGGGCGAAAGCCUGAUCCAGCAAUGCCGCGUGAGUGAUGAGGGCCUCGGGUUGGU
rnacentral:rRNA from 1 species